AACGAACGCUGGCGGCAUGCCUAACACAUGCAAGUCGAACGAGAACUUCGGGUUUAGUGGCGCACGGGGGCGUAACGCGUGGGAACCUGCCCUUAGGUUCGGCAUAACUCCCCGGAAGGGGUGCUAAUACCGGGUAAUGUUUUCGGACCAAAGAUUUAUUGCCUUUGGUUGGGGCCGCGUUGGAUUGGUGUGUUGGUAGGGUAAAAGCCUACCAAUGCGAGGAUCGAUAGCUGGUUUGUGAGGAUGAUCAGCCACACUGGGACUGAGACACGGCCCAGACUCCUGCGGGAGGCAGCGGUAGGGAAUAUUAGAGGAUGGGCGAAAGCCUGAUCCAGCAAUGCCGCGGGAGUGAUGAAGGCCUUAGGGUUGCAAAGCUCUCUUACCCGGAAUGAUAAUGACAGUACCGGGAGAAUAAGCUCCGGCUAACUCCGUG
rnacentral:rRNA from 1 species